AUGCUGCAACAUGGAAGAACUUGAGGACAUUAUGUGGUGCAGUGAUGGACACCUGAAAGAAUCAAAGACAAGGAAGACAACUGGGACAUUCAGACCCGUCAGAGCCCCGUCAAAGUCCUCAGGCUUGUCAUCCAGCUCCAUCACUUUUAUAUUUGGUCUUGAAAUAAGGAGCCUUUUACAAUGGACUUGGAAGGAGCAAUGACAGGACACAGGCAUGGCUGAAGAAGCCAUCUGCACAAACUUCCCCCAGGAGGCCAAAUCGGCACCCC